rfam:Vibrio fischeri MJ11 chromosome I, complete sequence.
GUCACGCAAGUGGCAUUCAGGGUCCAGCAGUAUUAAACCCCGCAAUUACGGGGUUUUUUGCUAUCUGAAACAGACUGUUUUUUAAGAAUUGGGCCUUGAGCCCUUUUUUU